UUUGACGGGGACCCUGAUCCGGCGGUCGGGAUUGACCGGAUCGAGCUAUGACUUGGACGGCCAGGAAGCUUGCUCGAAGCGUUUUUCUUCAUAAUCGAACAAAACAGCUGGGUUUUUUCUUCUUCUGCUAUUUAGGUUUAUCAUAAUCGAACGAAACAGCUGCGGUGUUUUGAGAUAGAGUUAGGGUUUGGAAUCGAUAACAAUUUUGAGAUCGAGGGAUACGAAUAAAGCUUAAGUAAGGGAUGAUGAUGGUUGUGCUGAUUGUUUUGGUUGACUCAAACUCAUGGGAAGGGGUUGAUGUUGAAUCACAAAGUGCUGUCUCGAGUUCGCGGUUCUUUUCUUGAAGGCAGGUGUUACAACCAUUAGUGCUAUUCGAGGAGCUGCUAUUAUAAAUUAGGAGGAAUUGAUGUUGAAUCACGAAGUCUGUUUCGAGCGCAAACCAAGUCAUGUCUGCGUACAAAAACAUCAUGUUAGGGAGUUGGGUAGACAAUACUUAUUAGUCCAGUCUCAUUAUUAUCUAUGAAUCACGAAUGCUACCAGGAUUAACUUUAAUCUUGAUCUACCUGAACUUGGAGGAAUAUGUGAGAGAUUUCUAUGCUCUACUCUUGGUCUACUAGGGCAUGUUCGCGUCAGGCAUUGGCCAAUGUAUCUUCCAUGCUUUGUUCAGCUGAGACCUUCAAUGGUGUAAUUACUAGAUGCCAGUGGCAUCAUUAAAAAAAUUAGAGAAGCAACAGAUGGAGACAGAGCGUUACGUCUCCUAUGUUAAACCACAGUUAAGGUCAUAUAGAUCGUUACACCAUCAGGUUGAUACAGGAACUGAUAUAUUGUGGGUUAAUUGCAUUGCAAUUCAGGUUGCAGGAACUUAGCAAAGACAAGGGUUAGUCUCGAGAGGAAAAAAAAGUAACAACAACAAAUAUCUACUGUUGACCAAAUUCUUUUUAGUUCUGAAAGGCUUCAUAUACUUGAGCACUGAAGAAAUAGGGGCUCAAGCCCUGGCGACAGAGCACUAGGAUGUCGAAAUCAAUAUUUUGUUUUAAUUCUAAUUCUAAGAGAUUAGUUACUGACAUUGUAAGUAUUCCAGCAUGUGGUGCAGUUAAGAACUGAGGACCAGAUAAUUAUGGAGUUUUUGCUAAAGACCAUGCUGGAAGUGCACCAAGAUAUGGUAAACCUGAUGAUGGUGGCACUACUGAUGAGCCUAUGGAUCCAAAAGAGCCAUUUCCAGCUACAUGUGGCAGAGCUCCAACAUCAACAGGCUGUGGAUGAUUGAACUUGCAGGCGAACCCAUGUAAUAUAGACAUGGUGUUACUUCCUAUUUAAUAACAUUAAAACACAAGCAUAUUGUACUAACUUAUUUGAAAGAAAUAUGGUUUUUUCCCUUUCCCAGUUCACUUUUGAUAUCUUUCUUACGCAUCUACUCUGACUCACUAUUUUAUUGAUUUGUUAACAGGUAUGCAAACAAGAAUUCCCAACCAAGUAUGAAUUUAAUUUCUCUCCAUCUUCUUUGCUUUCAAUAUAUAUAUAUUAAGAGUACAGUAUCAAUAGGUCCUUAACAAUCAUUGCAAUUAUGUACUUAUCAUUACAUGAAUUGCGAAGCUACAGGAUUUGCCAUUAAACACUUUAGUUUCGAAAACUAGAAGGGAGGAAUUGGUCAGUGAUGAUUUUAAAUUGGUUUCCUUUGAUGUUCCCAUACCUUACAAUGAAUCGUAUAUAUAUGUGCGCGGUAAACUGCAGCUAAUAGAUGUCCAACCAAAGGAUGAGAUAAUCCUUUUUUCGUAUUUUGUGUAACCUUGAGAGUUAGAUAAGGUUAGCAGGAACCUAAAAUUGGAGUGUUAGAUUUAUGUGUAUACAAUUUGAUUAAUAAUUAGGUUUUCUGUCUACUGUGAUUUCUGAUUGCCAGGAAUAAUAACGAAUCUAAUCUAUUUUUCUCUUCUUUUCUUCUAUGUUCGACUUUCAAUCUUUGAUUAGGGUUACCACUUAUUUUUGAUAGAAGGGGUUAGAAUAGGAGCAGAACUGUGAAAUAUAGGUACUUUUUUAGUAUUGCGGUUAUUGUUUAGAGACUUUGUGAUAUUUGUGAUUAAAAAAGGUUUGGUUCCGGGUUCCCUCUGAUUUUUUAAGUUAAACUUAUUUUGUCUAAUUUUGUUUUUGCAUACAUGUUCUAUUUUUGUUACUGAUUUACUUUCUUUUUUGAUAGUGCAGGUGAUUUACUUUCUUUUUGAUAGUGCAGGUGAUUUACUUUCUUUUUGAUAGGGUUCCAAAUUAAAGAUUGCUAUUAUCCUAUGGUGGCAGAAGUAUGCUCCCUUUUUGAAGAAGUGUCAAGGGACUAUAUCAUCUGAAUUAUCUCCCGUGAGAAAAUUUGAAAUGAAAAGAACUUUUUGGGUGGUGUGAGACUUACUGAACUCAACAUGCAAAUCAUGGCUCAAGAAAGUUUUCCAGCCACCGGUGUUCGAGGAGAAAGAUCUUACAAACUUGGAUGAUGUCGAUACUCUUUUCGAGUGCUGGGAAGCGAGUCAAAAGUAAUAUUGAUAGAAUUUCAUGUGGAAAUUCUACCAUCGUUGUUAUGAAUGAUAUUAGUAAUUUUUUGUUGGCACUAUUUAAGAUUUCCAGUAGUAUCAUGCGACUGAAAAGAGAUAAGAACAACCAAUAGCUAUUAAUGCCUUCGAAUUCAUUUUCAUGUAAAAUGGUUUACAUCUUGGAAAUUAGUUUGGACAACAGGUGUGUUUCAGUCUUUUUUUCUAUUUGUAAUAUUUAUUCAUUCGCUAUUA